rnacentral:rRNA from 1 species
AGAGCGAACGCUGGCGGCAGGCCUAACACAUGCAAGUCGAGCGCUCCGCAAGGGGAGCGGCAGACGGGAGAGUAACACGUGGGAACGUACCCUUCAGUUCGGAACAACCCAGGGAAACUUGGGCUAAUACCGAAUACGUCCGUAAGGAGAAAGAUUUAUCGCUGAAGGAUCGGCCCGCGUCUGAUUAGCUUGUUGGUGAGGUAACGGCUCACCAAGGCGACGAUCAGUAGCUGGUCUGAGAGGAUGAUCAGCCUCACUGGGACUGAGACACGGCCCAGACUCCUACGGGAGGCAGCAGUGGGAAUAUUGGACAAUGGGCGCAAGCCUGAUCCAGCCAUGCCGCGUGGGUGAUGAAGGCCCUAGGGUUGUAAAGCCCUUUCGGCGGGGAAGAUAAUAACGGUACCCGCAGAAGAAGCCCCGGCUAACUUCGUGCCAGCAGCCGC